GACACGUUCCUUAGAUCCACCUCUGGGGGGUCUUCCAGCUCUGGUACUGCACCCUCUGUCUGAGUGCUGCAGUUUCAGUCUGGUGGCUCCCAGCAGCUUUUUUGGCUGUACGGUUGGGGGUGCUUGAGUCAUUGGCGUGUGAGAGCAGUCUACCUGCUUUUCCAGCUCAAUCACUGCCCUGGCACCUCUUUGGACUUUACUAGGGCAGAGAAGCUGGGGGGCGGACAAG
ensembl:snoRNA Small nucleolar RNA SNORA53